AACGAACGCUGGCGGCAGGCCUAACACAUGCAAGUCGAGCGAGAUCUUCGGGUCUAGCGGCGGACGGGUGAGUAACGCGUGGGAAUAUGCCCUUCUCUGCGGAAUAGCCUCGGGAAACUGAGCGUAAUACCGCAUACGCCCUUCGGGGGAAAGAUUUAUCGGAGAAGGAUUAGCCCGCGUUGGAUUAGGUAGGUGGGGGGGUAAGGGCCUACCAGGCCGACGAUCCAUAGCGGGUUUGAGAGGAUGAUCAGCCACACUGGGACUGAGACACGGCCCAGACUCCUACGGGAGGCAGCAGUGGGGAAUCUUAGACAAUGGGGGCAAUCCAGAUCGAGCCAUGCCGCGUGAGUGAUGAAGGCCUUAGGGUUGUAAAGCUCUUUCAGCUGGGAAGAUAAUGACGGUACCAGCAGAAGAAGCCCCGGCUAACUCCGUG
rnacentral:rRNA from 1 species